AGUAUUAGCUUGUGCUUCCUUGUUUCAGAGUUCACAAUCUUGAAAAAAGCAGUUGCGUGCUUUUCAUCAGCAGGAUAGAGUCGCCUGUUGGCGUUUAUUAAUUUGCCUGUCCGGUUUUCGGAAAAAUUUGUGGAAGAUGCGAUACUGAGGAAAAGUAUACAAUUUGAGGACAAGUGGUACGGUUUAAUUGUGUGACGUCAGCUCCGCGCUAGUGAUCCUUAUUGGAGAAGUGGCAUCAGGAGGUGGAGACGGCAUCGUAAUGAUGUCGAUUUUUUUUGUGUUAAAAGGCAAAAAGUUGGCUUUUUUGUUUUACGUUUGGUGGAGCCGUCUCCUCUUGUCUAAUGCAUAGGAUGUGGGUAAGCUAUGUCUGCAGUGGGUGAGGUAUUUGCUUUGUUUGAUUUUAUUUUGUUUAUUUAAUUUGUUGUUGAUUGUUUACUUUUAGGUUUUAGCGUCAACUCGCUGUUGGCGCUCGUCAAGCUGGAAAUUUAUGGGAGCAGCAGAGUGUCCUGUUCGACGAGGUGGAAGCGUUGUUGGCCCGUCUUUUGCAGAGCAUCAAUUUGUGUAGAUUUCAGCGUUGAUAAUAGAUACUUCAAAGGACCGUGCGGCAAAAAUUUCAGGCUCUGGUUGGUUUUUUCCGUAUUGUAUCGUCAGGAUCAGCUGGAGUGCGUUGUCGUAGGCUUGUUUAUUCGGGUGCGUUGAGGAAAAUUGGGCUGCGUCGAGGAAGUUGAUGACCGUGAAGGAGUUUGGAGCAGACUGACGUGCACUUUUCGGUCGGAUAUGGAUAUCGUUAGAAUAGAUAUAAGUAAGAGUAGAUAUAAGUAAGAGUAAAUUUAAUUGGAUGUAUCCAUGUCAAGAUUGUUAUCUGUUCCUUGAAUAAUUAAGGCCAAUAAACUGUCAAUUUUCUUUUCUAAA